rnacentral:lncRNA from 1 species
CCGUUAUUGUAGUAUUGUAGAUUUGAUUCCCAUACGAAAUUUUAAGGCGUAUUACCCCUGGAAAUCAGGCGUAAACCAGACGUAAGUGGUAGUUACGUGACUAGAUCCAGGCGUAAGGGAGCAGGAAACGUAAAUUUGUAGUCCUUACAGGCGUAGAAAAAAGCAGUAAACCUGGCGUAAAUUAAAAUAAAUUUUCUUACGGGCGUAAAUCUGUUGGUACGGCGUAAAUAGAAAUACCCAUAAUGCUUUGUUUAAAGGAUCAUGGGAUUUUUCAAAAUUUGGCUCUUUGGUUUUAGUUUGCAAGAGUAUUACAGACUAGGGGAAUGGUCCCCACCAUAUUACAGACUAGGGGAAUAGCUCUGGUAGCAUGGAUGGAGGCGAUCACAUACGGACACAUAAAAACACAUCAGCUUCCAUUUCUACAUUUUAAUCAGACAAAGAAUGACGUCACAAACAUAAAUACAAGAUACUGACAAAAGGGGAACAACUCUCUCUUACAAACAGAAACAUAAUCUGACCAUCACAUACUGAUAUAUAACAAGAGUUAGACUUGUGGCAGCUUUAUAUAUUCAGGGAUAAUUAGCUUGUUUUGUGAUUUUGGGAAGAAUUUGAAAUUGGAAAUACUGAAUCAAAUAAAUUAAUGAAAAUUGUGAAAUAAAAGGAAAGUAGUAAUACAUGGUAAAUAAUAAUAAUGUGUUAUGAUAAUAUUUAUUAAGUUUGAUGUUCUAUUCAGAAAUUUUGAAAUCCC